rnacentral:rRNA from 1 species
CAAUGGGCGAAAGCCUGACGGAGCAACGCCGCGUGAGUGAUGAAGGUUUUCGGAUCGUAAAGCUCUGUUGCCAGGCAAGAAUCUCCGAUAGAGUAACUGCUAUCGGAGUGACGGUACCUGAGAAGAAAGCCCCGGCUAACUACGUGCCAGCAGCCGCGGUAAUACGUAGGGGGCAAGCGUUGUCCGGAAUUAUUGGGCGUAAAGCGCGCGCAGGCGGUCAUUUAAGUCUGGUGUUUAAGGCCAAGGCUCAACCUUGGUUCGCACUGGAAACUGGGUGACUUGAGUGCAAAGAGGAGAGUGGAAUUCCACGUGUAGCGGUGAAAUGCGUAUAUAUGUGGAGGAACACCAGUGGCGAAGGCGACUCUCUGGGCUGUAACUGACGCUGAGGCGCGAAAGCGUGGGGGAGCAAACAGGAUUAGAUACCCUGGUAGUCCACGCCGUAAACGAUGAAUGCUAGGUGUUACGGGUUUCGAUACCCUUGGUGCCGAAGUUAACACAUUAAACAUUC